rnacentral:lncRNA from 1 species
CAGUGCGCUGUUACCUUUGGUCGGCACCCCGAGGGCGUUUCUGAGUCCCGAGAAGCACCGGUCCCAGGGGCUGGCCCGCUGCCCUCGGCUGCCCCCGGCUGCCCCCGCUGUUGCCCCUUAACCGCCCAGCACAGGGAACAUGACAGCCGCCCUGCAGGCGGCGCUGAAAGAACCCUCCCAUCAACACCAGGAGCCAGGCGGUGAAGGACCGGGCAGGCAGCAUCGUGCUGAAGGUGCUCAUCUCCUUCAAGGCCGGCGACAUAGAAAAGGCCGUGCAGUCCCUGGACAGGAACGGCGUGGACCUGCUCAUGAAGUACAUCUACAAGGGCUUCGAGAGCCCCUCCGACAACAGCAGCGCCGUGCUCCUGCAGUGGCACGAGAAGGCGCUGGCUGCAGGAGGAGUGGGCUCCAUCGUCCGUGUCCUGACUGCAAGGAAAACCGUGUAGCCUGGCAGGAACGGGUGCCUGCCGGGGAGCGGGAGCUGCCGGUACAAAGACCAAAACGCCCAGAUGCCGCCGCUGCCCUGUGGGCGGCGUCUGUUCCCAGCUUCGCUUUUUCCCUUUCCCGUGUCUGUCAGGAUUACAUAAGGUUUCCCUUCGUGAGAAUCGGAGUGGCGCAGAGGGUCCUGUUCACACGCGCCGUGCGUCCGGCUGUGUAAGACCCCUGCCUUCAGUGUCCUUGAGCAACGGUAGCGUGUCGCCGGCUGGGUUUGGUUUUGUCGUGGAGGGAUCUGGUCAGAAUUUGAGGCCAGUUUCCUAACUCAUUGCUGGUCAGGAAAUGAUCUUCAUUUAAAAAAAAAAAAAAAGACUGGCAGCUAUUAUGCAAAACUGGACCCUCUUCCCUUAUUUAAGCAGAGUGAGUUUCUGGAACCAGUGGUGCCCCCCCCCCCCGCCCCGGCCGCCGUCCUGCUCAAGGGAAGCCUCCCUGCAGAGCAGCAGAGCCCCUGGGCAGGAGCGCCGCGUCCCGCUCCCAGGAGACAGCAUGCGCGGUCACGCCGGCACUUCCUGUGCCUCCCAGCCCCAGUGCCCCGGAGUUCUUCAGGGCGACAGGGACCUCAGAAGACUGGAUCCGAUCCAGACAGACGCCCAUUCUUGGUUCAGCUCAGUGUUUUCAAAAGGAACGUGCUACCGUGGGUAGAGCACACUGGUUCUCAGAACACGGCCGGCGCUUGACGGUUGUCACAGCUCCAGAACAAAUCCUGGGAGACAGGCGAGCGCGAGUCGCCGGGCAGGAAUUCCACACACUCGUGCUGUUUUUGAUACCUGCUUUUUGUUUUGUUUUGUAAAAAUGAUGAACUUGAGAAAAUAAAACGUCAGUGUUGACUAAUUUUUCUGUCA